rnacentral:rRNA from 1 species
GUGUCAGCAGCCGCGGUAAUACAGAGGUCCCAAGCGUUGUUCGGAUUCACUGGGCGUAAAGGGUGCGUAGGUGGUGGGGUAAGUCGGAUGUGAAAUCUCCGAGCUCAACUCGGAAAUGGCAUUGGAAACUACCCUGCUAGAGGGUCGGAGGGGGGACUGGAAUACUUGGUGUAGCAGUGAAAUGCGUAGAUAUCAAGUGGAACACCAGUGGCGAAGGCGAGUCCCUGGACGACUCCUGACACUGAGGCACGAAAGCUAGGGGAGCAAACAGGAUUAGAAACCCCAGUAGUCC